GCAUCAUCAAUUAUUCGACAGUGUCAAGAGUGCGGAUUUGGGCAAAUCUGGGUGUCUUUAUCAGUUUAUGUUUGCGGAUCUUGGAGCCCAACACUGCAAUAGCGGCUGCAAUAUUUGAAUUAAAAGGAAAUGUUUGAGUAUCGUAGCGGAAAGCAUUGUUAACUUUUAGGUAUGGCUGUUGCGAUUUUGUUGUUUUAUAUGAGUUUCUUUGUGAAAUUAGCAAUAGAAUUUUUAAGUCUACAAUCUUUAUCAAGGAGAUUGUAUGCGAGCAUGGAUUUUUGGUUGGGUUCAAUCUUCUAUUUUAGGGUUUUUUUCUGGAAAUU